CCUACGGGAGGCAGCAGUAGGGAAUAUUGGGCAAUGGCCGAGAGGCUGACCCAGCCAUGCCGCGUGCAGGAAGAAGGCCUUCUGGGUUGUAAACUGCUUUUAUCUGGGAAGAAAACGCUCCUGCGGGGGUAACUGACGGUACCAGAUGAAUAAGCACCGGCUAACUCCGUGCCAGCAGCCGCGGUAAU
rnacentral:rRNA from 1 species